CUUCAGUGAUGCUCAAAACAACAGUAUUUGAAAAUUUAUAACCUUAUUCAAACGUUACCGAGCUCAUAAAACCCACAAAAGGACUAACAUGAGGUCAAUAUUUCGAUAGAUUUUCUUUUCAAGAUAUAUGAUUUAAUAAGGAUGAAUGACUUUUUGCAUUUUUCUUUCUCUUUGUAUUGACUUGCAUUUCUAAAGGAUUUUUUCUAGGGAAAUAAUUUCAGGAAAAUAAGUUGACUUUCAUUUGUUUUUUUCUUGUGCAAUAAUUUGUUUGCCUUCUGUUUUGUUUGUUUUGUUUUUGCAGCUGAUAUUAAACUGGAAAAGAGAUAGGACCAACAUAAGAACUACAACAAUGGUAAACUGAGUAGCUUGUGCAGUAUCUCUUUCGCCAUGACCAUAUAUUGGAACAUACGAUAAAAGUUGUUUCAAUAUUUAAACGAAUAUAAUUAUUUGUAUAAGCAACACACCGCAUGUCAGUACAAAAGCACAGAUCUCGUACGCACAUGAUGCACUUGCGUGGUACAUGGCAUUUUGACAUGAAGUUCACAAUGUAAACCUUCAUUAGUAUUAUCAUGGUUUCACAAGAAGGACAUGGAACACGAUGUUCUGCAAUGAAUGGAAAGUGUAAAAGAAAAUGUCUAUCAACAGAACUAGGUCGGACUGGACAUGGGUGCUGUCAUCAUAAAAAGUGUUGUAACGAACCUUCAUAUACGCCAUCAUGCCGCGAUAUUUGUCAAACGAAUGGUUGUGGAUGUACACAAUGUGAUUGUGAUUGUCAUGAUAAUUGUAUUGUGACCAAUGGCACUUGUUGUUCAGACUUUUAUCAGAGUGUGGAACUAGUUUUUAAAGCAUGUGAAAGUUGUAUUGUUAAUUGAAGUAACUGUUGCAAAUUUUAGGAAAUAAUUCAAAACUUAAGAAUAUGUCUCCUUCUUCAAAGCUCUGAUUCCUUAUCUAUACUUUUUGUUUUGUUUUGUUUAUAAGCUUUCCAGUGUUUGAACAUGUUUCAAAUUUUCAGAUAUUUUGCUAUGAGUAUCUUUUAAAAGACAUUUGUUGUCAAAAUGCGCAUAUGGUACAGUGAAAUUGGAAACAUUUGUGUUAUUAAUUAACAUCGGCAUAAGCAUGUGCGUCUAGUUUACGCAGUUAAGAGAUUGUAGAUUUCACAUUGUUGGGCUGAUAUUUAAAGUAAUUAUAGAAAGAUAUUUUACUAAUAUCCAGACUUUAUAUGUAUUCAUGGAUCUUCUCUACAUGUUUAUUUGAUCUGAAUAUAUCAAAAAUUAUGAGAAGGGAAAAACUGACAGUUGGUAAAAAAUAAAAGCAAUAAAAGCAAUCAACUUCGCCAUGG